UUUUUUUUUUUUUUGGUUGCCAUCUACAUGCUUUUCAUUCACAGCAAACAACAUUUUCUCUUUCACAAAAUGUAUUGGACUAAGUUGUAAUAAUGUCAAAAUUUUCAGGGCUUCUCUGGUGGAAAUUACCCAAUAAUAGCACAAUCUCCAUUUCUUCAAGAGCAAAUCUGGAGAAGAGAAAGCAAAGGCACAGGAGUUUUUAUCCCAAAGUCAUCACAGCCAAGAAGGAAGCAUAGGCACAGAAGAAACAGUUCAUUCAGCUCAAAGUAUUACAGGCAGCAUAACAACAGUACAAAAAUGGCUUCUCAAGCAUCUAGCAAAGAGGCUAAAGGAUUUACAUCUUUGUCAACUGUAUAACUUUACUAAAAGAAACUACUAAUAAUCCCCUUUGUCAACGGCUGUUGAAGGCAAGGCAGGUCAUUAGAAAUAAUUGAUCCUGCUCCUAAUUAGUGGGUCUUGAAGAGGUUCACCAAAGGGUCUGCCUCCCUAAAUCAUGGAAACAUGUAUGGUGAUUGCUGUAUAUGUGUGAUAUCGGAAAAAUAUGUACUUGUUCAUUUAAUGUAAUUAAUUUAUAUAUUAAUUAAUUUUUAUUGUUAUUAGAGAAAAAAAUUCUUUUCUUUUCUCAUUUGCCUAUCCCUUAAGCUGUCGACAAAGACAAGCAUUUUCUCGAGGCACAAACUUGACAUCAGCAUAUGAUGAAAAUUCCAUGAAGAAAGUACUUGCUAAAUUUGAUGAGCAGAAGAAAGAUUGCUCUGCUAUCAACCUUAAAGCAAUUUCGCAAUGAUCAGAUCCAACUUCAAUAUCAGCUUUGAUCAAUUCAUCACCCCGUAGAUUCUAGAGAUAAUUGGAAAACUGGAAGACAAUCAAAAUAUGUUCUUAUUCAUUAUCGGGACUGUUCAAGGCCUUAUCAGUAAAGCGCUGUAUGAGUGUUUUCCAUUUCCAUUGUCCCAAUCCUUUCCAUUUCCAAUUUUCAUGUUGCUUUCAUUUUCCUGUUCCCAUACCGGCAAAACUCCACAUGCCACAAGAUCUUUCAUUUCUUUGACAGGUACUGCAUAUUAUAUAUAUAUAUAUAUAUAUAUAUAUAAACUAAAUACUACUUAAAACCAAAAAAAAUAUGAUGAGACGGAUAAUCUUUCUCUCCCAAACAAUCAUGAGGUCAUGGCCUUGAAAAUCAAGGCGUCCCUCAUGUCAUAGAUCAGGAAAAAAAAAAGAUCAAAGAUGAUGAGAAAGUUUAAACAUUUUUUAUGUUCUGAUCGAAUCUAGUACUUCCCCGACAACUUGUAUAGAUCUACAUAUGAGGGACUCCAAACAUUCUAUAUGAAUUAUUGAAGGAAAAUAAUGGAUCUUAUUGUGUGGGCUCCCACUCAUUAGUUCACCAUAUCUGAAACAGCCCAUGUGGAGAUAAGAGCUUUGAACCUUUUCUUAAAAUGAAAAGACCAAUCGGCACAUGCAAACUACUCAAUUUGAAAAUAAUCGAAAAUGAUGCAGCAUUUGAACUGUGUCUCGAGAUAAAGCUCUCUGCAUCCUCGCCGUGGCUCACGUUUUCAAUUCAAAAAAUAUAUUAUCAAGUGGAAAAAACUUUAUGAUUUAUAAGUUGAAGAUCAUUUUAUCUGUUUUUAGAAUGGGAUUUGUUACAAUUUUCUCCAUUUUACAUUGAUUAUUUCACCCGCAAAACAAGAAUCCAUCUUGAUGCGAGCUUAUCUAGAUACUGAUAUCUAUCCAACCAAAACCACAUUAACUCUUUCACCCGCAAACAAAAAAAUCCACCUUAAUUUGAAGCCAACAGUAUUAGUUGUCUAAGACCGUUGAUUCUAAAGCAGUAAGUCCUCAUUGUAACUGAUAUGGGAUUGGUGGCGGCUGCAAGGAAGCUGUAACUUCAAGACUUCAGGUCAAAUCAUUUUGAAAGUAGAGACAUGAAACCACUAUCGAAAAUUCUUUCAAACUAGUAUUGAUGCCUUGGGAGGACACUUUAGUCAUGCUAUGAGAUUCUUUUUUUUUUUUUUUAAUGUUGGACCUUGGAUCAAUAUUGAGGGAUUUCAAGUCCCUGUUAAGCAUUAAGACAUCAAUUUUAUUAAUUUGGUGAAACAAUAAUUUUUUAAAAGAAAAUCUGAAUACAAACUAAUAAAGUAAGUCAUGAUUGGAAGAUCCAAACGAAAAAUGACAGAUGAAUAGAUUUGGAAUCUACCAAGGAACAGUAAUAAACAGCAAAUCUUGCCACUUGAAACAGGAUGACAAGGAGAAGAUUUCUAACCUUUUCUCUUUUUCAUUGAAAUAUUUACCGUGCAACUUGUGACCCAAAGAUUGAAUCUGCUAGGUGGUAGUUAUGGGGGUUUAAUGGAAGAGCAAAUAUAAUCACUUUGAUUCUAGUUUUUUGUCCAGUAUAAGAAAAUCUUACGAGCUUCAAAAUCUAGAUUCAAACUCCAUUAGUUGAGAGAGUUUGAUCUUAUCUUCUAACUUAUUGAUCAAGAAUGUGAGCACUCAGGACAAGGAGUGAUUAGUUCAUUG
rnacentral:lncRNA from 1 species